rnacentral:rRNA from 1 species
AAAUCAACUUUACAACGGCGUAAAGAGUGGUCGCAUGCUAUCCAAGUAGCUAAGAUUAAAAAGCAACUGAGCUGUCAUAAGCCAAAGAUGCGUCAUAAGGCCUCUUUUCAAAGAAAAUCUUAGACCAACGAUUAAUUGAAGCCACGAAAGCCAGGACCCAAACUGGGAUUAGAUACCCCACUAUGCCUGGCCCUAAAUCUUGAUGCUCGAUCUAACCGGAGCAUCCGCCCGAGAACUACGAGCACAAACGCUUAAAACUCUAAGGACUUGGCGGUGCUCCAAAUCCACCUAGAGGAGCCUGUUCUGUAAUCGAUGAUCCACGAUAUACCUGACCAUUCCUUGCCCAAAACAGCCUAUAUACCGCCGUCUCCAGCCCACCCUCCAUGAAGGUUCAACA